GUCCCUGGUACAGCAAGGAACAUCUCUUGUUAAGGCCUCCAGGCUCUCUCACUCUCGCACACACCAACACGGCAAAAAUGUGCCAAUGUGUGCUUGAGAAUGCCACAGCACGGUGUCCUUCCCUCAGUCUCUCAUUCCUAACUUUUUCCAACCAGCCCCAAGAUGUUCUUCAAGAGCGAGUCUCGUUUUUCUUCAGCAACAGCAGCUGGAAACAGUGCCGCCUGACACACUGCCAGCUCUCACCGACCGGUUCCUCUGCUUCCUUCUGACAGGAGCGAAGGCUACGGCCCAAUGCUUACUCAGAUACAGAGACCCUGAGGUACCAGACAUAGCGGGAUGGAAAGGAUAUAGGGAUUCCAGAAGUGUCUCAAGAUCAGGAGACGCAGCAGUAUGGACCUAACCCGGGGCUGGAAACCCCACCUUAACCGAACAGCAUCAAGUCAUAUCUACUGUAAUACAGAGUGAACGACAUGCCGGCUUGGGAAACAAGCACUGCUUCAUCAUUAAGUAGUGUACAACGUCUGGGUUUUCGGCCUAUCACAUCUCGUCUGAUUCAGCAGCAGUGAGGUGGAGCUCUAAUCUGAGCGGUGGCACAAAUGCGCAGCAUCAGCUAAUAAAGUUCAACAUCUGAACCAGCAUCUGUAUCAGAUUUGGGUCAGCUGUGUAGACUAAACAGGUGUCGGGUAUUCUUGCUCUUUUGAUUUUCAGUCUGAGAACGAUUCGGAAGGUGUCCAGCGUUAUGACUAGUUUCAGAUGUUUAACGCUGACAUCGCUAUUAAAGCACAACGUCAUUGUGUAACACUGGGUUGAAGGCCAGCCAAGCUUUAAGCAUGAUAUAACUGAGAUUUUUAUUGUAUUAUCUUAACUAUGCAUGACAUAAACAGGAAGCCAUAGCAAAUGCAUGAUGUCACUAAAAUGAGAGUAUCUGUGUACUGUAGAUGUCAUAUGACAUUUAUCAUGUGUUUUUUUUUUCUCACAGUGGCUAUAUAAAACUAUUAUGUCAAGUGUCUUGUAUAUGUGUUUGAAGCUUUACAAGACCUAAUUGCUAGUACUUCCAUUACUGAAAAUAAACAUUAUGAACGCUUUAUGAACAAUGACAUUAAGGGUUGUUUACAGAGCCGCUCUCAUUAACUGUGUCCUCUACAAAUGUAUCUUUAUGGCAUGCUCACACUUCCUAAUAAAAAGCAAAGCCUCAAUUACAGAGUGUAGCUGUUUGAUAUGAACACACACAUCCUGUGAGCCCAAAAAAAGCUUAUCUUAUGAGGACAGUUGACUCUCAGUUGUAAACUUGCAUUCUUCUCUUCCUUUUCUGUUCUUCAAUUGAUACAAAAAACUCAUAAAAAAAAUAAAUUAAUAGAAGAAUGGGCUCAUUAUCUGCAACAUUUCAAUGCUCCACAUAUUAUUAGUCAAUUGAUCGCUUGA